rnacentral:rRNA from 1 species
GUCCACGCCCUAAACGAUGACAAUUAGCUGUUGGGAGAUUAAAGCUCUUGGUAGCGUAGCUAACGCGUGAAUUGUCCGCCUGGGAGUACGGUCGCAAGAUUAAACUCAAAGGAAUUGACGGGACCCGCACAAGCGGUGGAUGAUGUGGAUUAAUUCGAUGCAACGCGAAGAACCUUACCUGGUCUUGACAUGUACGGAAUCCUCCAGAGACGGAGGAGUGCCUUCGGGAACCGUAACACAGGUGCUGCAUGGCUGUCGU